UAACAACUUACCUGCCGAAUGGACUAGCCCUGAAAAUGGAUGACGCUGAAGCGGACAGCCGACACUGUGCCGUUUGGGUAAGAAGCGACCUAAAUGAGUAGGAGGGCGUGGCGGUCUUGUGAGGAAGGUCGAGACGCGAGUCUGACUGAAACGGCCGCUAGUGCAGAUCUUGGUGGUAGUAGCAAAUAUUCAAGCGAGAUCCUUGAAGGGCGAAGCGGGGAAGGGUUCCGCGCGAACAUUGAUUGGGCGUGGGUGAGUCGUUCCUAAGCCGGGUGGUAAUCGUUCUUCGAAGCGGCGAAAGGGAAGCGGGUUAAAAUUCCUGCACACGGAUGUGGAGGCGGUGACGCAAAUUGAGGUGAAGACAUCAGCGGUGGCGCUAGGCAGAGUUUUCUUUUCUGUUUGACCUGUGAUAUGCACUGUGUGGAAUCCAAUUAUUGGGAGAAACACGUGCCGAAGGGCAGAGCGUUGGGGCGUCCCCGGCGUCUAGCACGCCAUCGAUGGUCCUUGAAAAUUCAUCUGCAAUAGAACUUCACGCCGUGGCGUACCGAUAACCGCAACAGGUCCCCAAGGUGAACAGCCUCUGCUCAAUAUGAACAAUGC
rnacentral:rRNA from 1 species